UGAGCUUAUGUCCAGUUACUCAUUUGGUCAAGAUGAGUAACUAGCCAAAGGCCGUUGGAGACAUGACAAAAAAGCUGCCUCGGGUUUCUUCUUCUCGACCCCAGGCUCCACCUACGCACUCUAUUCCGUCCUCCUCUCCACCCCAGGCUCCACCUAUCCACUCUAUUCCUUCCUCCUCUCCACCCCGAGCUCCAACUCCCCACUCAUUUCCUUCCUCCUCACGACACCGGGCUCCACUUACCCACUCUAUUCCUUCCUCCCCUCAACCCCGGUGUCCUCCUAUCUACUCUAUUCCUUCCUCCUCUCAUUGUCCGAGGAAGUUUCCUCUUGUGUGUAACUCUUUUCAUCCACAGAAUACUCUCCAGCGUCGGCCACCUCUCUCAACUCAUAAGCCUAUCUCUUUCCCUCCUGUUCAUAGUGCUGUCCCUCCUUGCCGCCCUAACGUACAGGUUUCCCCACCCAAAUAUUGCUCUAUUCCUUCCAAAACCUCCAGCCCCCGCUCCUUUUCUCCCGCUACUGUUCUCCGUUACUCCAGUUUGUUCUUUGCUCCUACUCCCCCUCCCAGCCCUAAGUAGACGUUAAAGUCUUAUCCUCCCCAACAUUCCAGCCAACUCCAUCCAGACCUCCGUGAUACACAAAUCCUAUCCUGGAGAGAUGAUUUCCCUGUGAGUGGGACGGUUCUGAUAUCAUCCAGAAUUGCCAGAACAAUCGAUCCGCAGGAGCUUCACUUGGUGAAUGUUGGGAACUCAAGACAAAGCCAAUCAACAUUUAGCUCGGAGGGUAACCCUUGUCCAUGUUGGUGUUUUCACCCACAACAUGGUUAUCGUAUUAUUCUGUACGGCCUGAAUGAAUUCUACAUUUAUAACUGGUUUCUCCAUGGAAUUUGGACUGUGACCACCGAGCAAACAGCAAGACCAGGGACACAAGGUAGAGAAGAGUGAGUGGAAAUCAUGUCAUCUGAAAUCUACACGGUUAUGGCUGUGCUCCACUCUCCUGAAGCACUGCACCUUGACGGACUUGCAUGAUAAACCAUCUCUGUCUUCCAACAGUGGAGACUGAAUUCACACAAGAGGAGACUGAAGGGAAAUAAAUGGAGCAGCAACAACCAUUUUGCAUCCCCUGCCAACUUAUCCUGCUGAUCAGAAGUGAUAGCAACCUGGACUCAGUGAACCUACCCCUGGAAAUCCAGAAGAAUCAUUUCCCUUCUUUUUCUGCAUCACCCAGAACAGAUCGCUCUGAUUAAGCUGUGUGGCCAGGCUCAGUCCCUAUUCACAGCUCCAUCGAAUGGGGCCAGGGUGUGGAAAUGAGAGCAGCAUCAGAACAAGGACCAGCAGCCCAGGGCUCCACCCUGUUGUGCAGCCAACUUACCAGGAACCAUAGUACAAACAGGACUCAUAUCAGAGGUACGUUGAUUCUCCCCAUACUGUGACCUUGAACAAACCCCAUGAUGAUGAUCUGAUGAGGUGGCAGGGUUAGAGCUCUCUCUAACUUUGAAAGGCCUAUAGUCAUAGUGCAGCUUCAUUAUGAUAGCCCCUAAAGACCUGUCAAUUCUUCUCUGGGCAUCACCACCAUAAGGUGUUUGCCUGAGGCUGCUCAAGUACAUCUUAGGGCAUAGGUUGGAUCCAGGAGCUUGGGCAGGAAAGUGGAAACUGCUCCCACACUGGUCCCUAAAAGGAUGCUCUCCAGGCAUUGCCAUGACUAGGCUGCUUUCUGGAAACACGACCUCUAAGGCACCGGGGGCUCUCCUCUACAAAAGGCUUCUUUGGUAUGUAGGCUCAGUUUGCCAGGGAACCCCUAUCACCUAGAGUCCCCUUUGGUCUCCUUUUUGCAUUGUCAAUUUGAAGGUAGGAUUUGUGGUUUCAGAGAACACUUUACAUCUGGAGACACACAUGAAAUUUUAGCCUAAAGAAGAACUUAUGGCUUGGAGCUGAUUCCCCAGCUGAUGGGCUCCUCGAGGAUGAUUUCCCCAGUGUUUUUGCCAGGAAGCUGGACCAUUUCUUUGGCUCAUCUUUGAAUGACAGAAGGUUGUUUUGUCUAAGAAUCCAUCUUUCCAGGUGCCUCAGUCUCCCAGAUGCAAUUCAAAGGUGAAGCCUUGGGAUGCGCGGUUGGCGCAGGGUUUCAGUGUCUGCCCUCAGCUCUGGGUGCAACCCUGGGAUCCUGGGAUAGGGUCCCACAAUGGGCUCCCUGAAGGGAGCCUCCUUCUCCCUCUGCCUGUGUCUCUGCCUCUCUCUGCAUCUCAUGAAUAAAUAAGUAAAAUCCUAAAAAAUACACAAACAAAUAAAAAAAAGUGAAGUCUUUCGGAUACAUGACCUCUUCCAUUUUGAACACCAUAUUCUCCUGUCCCGAAACCAUGAUGUUUUGUUUAUAAGUUGAUCGUGACACUUUUACUUUCUGGCCAUGUCCUGUUGCCAUUUUUGUAUGUGAUUUACCUCCUCCUCAAUAUUCUAGUGCUCUGAGGACAGGGAUCCUCUUCAUCUUCUUCAUACCUUCUGUGGUAAACUCUGCCCUGCAUCCAAUGAAAAGCACAGUAGAUCCAAACCAUCAGUAAGAGGCCUUACCCCAUUUGGUAUCCAGCAGUAGUUUAUAAACAAAUCUCAGUGGUUUGUCUCAUUUAAGCUCCUUCGAAAUCCCCUCACCCAUAGCUCUUGAGCACAGGGGCCAUGACUCACCAUCAUGACUUUUUAUUUCCAGUUCUCAGGACAUAAUUUCUGGCACAUAAGGAACAUACCACAACUGGUUAGUGAGUGGAUUCUGAAGGGGUUGUCCCCAGUAAGGAGGAGAGAAAACAGAGGCCUACUGAGUUUCAACGAACACUUAGGGUUAAGUGUGUUAAAGGCUGGACACAAAUUCAGGUCUUCUGAUUCUAAUGGCAACACUUUUUUCUAGUAGAAGAGAAUCCAGUAAGAGCUACAAUUAUUCUAAGGCUAUGAUUACGUGUCUUAGCCUCCUUGAUGAUGAGAAAGCAUGACCUUUCCCACUGGGCCUCCUGGCCUGUCUUUCCAUCCCAGCGCAAACAUCGCUCGUUCUUGGAUACUAAUCCCAAGGCCAACCAGAACUUCCUGACAAGUGGGCCAUGGUGUCUUGUUCUGAGGACAGGUUCACACAUAGGCUGAGGUCUGAAUUCCUCACCCCUCAGGGACCCCCACAUGGUCACCUCUCGGCAGCCAAGUGCAGCCUCCCCAAUUGAUCCUGGCUUGGCUUCACAAUUCUACCCUACUCCACAUAUACCUGCCAUCAAAUAGAACAGGGAUGAAGCAAGCAUCACCCAUACCUAACACACACCCCUAAAUAGCCCUUGUUCACAGAAUCCCUUCUCUAGACAGGUCAGAGACAGCUUUCCUGGUUGUCUCCUUCAGGAGCCCGGGCUGUGGGGCACCCUCUUUGACUCAUUUAAACUAAAUCUCACUUAAAUCUCCCUCUUUCCGUUCCCCAGACAACAUCCCAUGUGGGAUGCCUCCUCGCACCCAAGUUAUCCAACCCUGAAGACACUUAGACAACACAGUGAGACCGAUCUGGGCUUAAUUUCAGCUUCAUCAGAUACCAGCGGCGUAGCCUAGGUAAUCUCAUAUUUAGUCCUUCUGUCCAUCCACUUCCUCUGUAAAAUGAAGACAGAUUGGAAUGAAAACACAUACAUGCAGCAUUUAGCAAAGUGUCAGGCAGGUGUUGUUUCCUUGUCACCAUGAUUGUGAUGACCAGGAUAUCGCUAUCAUCUGAAAACCUCCAUCCGGAUUCAUCAGUUUGACAAAAUCAGAUACCAUGAGAUAAGAAUGCAAGACCAUGAUGAAAUAUCCCUGCACAACAACAAGCAAGAAGCUAACCAAGCCUCUAUAUUUAAGCAUCCAGGUUACACUUCAGUCAAAUAUACCACUUAGGUAAACACAGAAUGUGGGAAAUUCUAUAGGCGCAAAUAACCCCCUGUCAACACAAUAAAAGGCAUGGGAAAAGGGGAAGUGUGAGAGGUUUACAGCCCAGAAGUGCAAUGUGUCCAUCUUCUAUGGAUCCUGAUUAAAUACACCGACUGUAGGAAGGAUUCUUUUUUUUAAAAAAAUAAAAUCAAGAAAUUUGAACAUAAGCCAAGUAUUGAUGUUAAAGCAUUGUUAGAAAUCUUAUUAGAUGUGAUUUAGAAUUGUGGUCAUGAUUAAAAUACUUAUCAUAGGGUCUCCCAGAUGGCUCACUCUGUGAAGCAUCUGCCUUGGCUCAGGUCAUGAUCUCAGGGUCCUGAGAUCAAGCCUCACAUUAGGCUCCUUGCACAGCAGAGAAUCUGCCUCCCCUUCUCCAUCUGUGUCUUUCUUUCUCAUUCUCUCUCUUUCUCUCUCUCUCAAAUAUAUAAGUAAAAUCUUAAAAAAUAUGUAUUAUCAUAAAUACAUAUUGAAGUUUUCCUCAGAUAAAAUUAAUAUAAUGCCUGGGAUUUGCUUUAAAAUCUGCAGGAGGAAAGGAGAGUGAGCAGGUUAAAUAAGAUGGAUGCACAUAUAUACUUUGAAGCUGGCAGAUGAGUGCAUAAGGUUAAAUGGAAUGUUAUUUAAUAUUCUUUUUAAAUUUUAUUUAUUUAUUUAUUUAUGAGAGACACACACAGAGAGGCAGAGACACAGGCAGGGGGGGUAGCAGGCUCCAUGCAGAGAGCCUGAUGCAGGACUCGAUCUCAGGACCACAGGGUCGUACCCUGAGCUGAGGGCAGACGCUCAACCACCAAGCCACCCAGGUGCUCCCUUAGUAUUCUUCCUACUUUUGUGUAUUAUUGAAAGUUUCUGUAAUGAAAUAGAGAUAAAAGUAAACAAAGCUCUCCCUGACGUGACUCUCCAAAGUCCUCCAUUUAUGACACAACAGCAUACACUCUGGGGAAGCUUUUCCAGAUGCAGGAAUCAGAGGGCAUUGGCUCCCACAAGCUCUCAAUCCACCAGUGCCACCAUAUCUGCAGCCUGCCAUUCAGGCCUCUACACCAGCCCCUGACCCAUUCAACCACAUACUAGACAAACAUAAUCUCUGGCCAGUGACUUAACCCCUGUGAGCCUCAGUGUCUCUUCUCAAAAAUGGAAAUGGUGGGGCAGCCUGAGUGGCUCAGCGGUUUAGCUCUUUAGAGGGCAUGGGUGAAGAGCACUGGGUGUCUUACACCACUGAUGAAUUAUUGAACACUACACCUGAAACUAAGGGUGUGCUAUAUGUUCACUAGUUGAAUUGAAAAAAAGAACAGAAACACGAACCUCUGAGGGCUCAGGGAGCCAAGCACUCACAGGCCCAUGUGCAGAGCACUGAUGGCAUGAAGAAGGCGGGCCUGGUCGUGUUUGGUGUAUGGAAUAUAGCUCGGGCCAAGAUACCUCCUCCUUCCCGUGAGUCUCUGGGAAUCCUGGCUUCAAGAUUCUCAGAUAAAAAUGCAUCAUUCAUUGAAGUGAACACGAAAUUGAGAGUUCUCAGCUCUGCAAGUUUGACAAUGGGCCUUGAAAUGGGAAAUCUGAGCCAACUGAAAAUCUUUGUUCAAGAAUUUGUAGAUUUUGGGAUGCCUGGGUGGCUCAGUGGUUGAGUGUCUGCCUUUGGCUCAGGGCAUGAUCCUGGAGACCCAGGAUCAAGUCCCGCAUCGGGCUCC